GAUGAACGCUGGCGGCGUGCUUAACACAUGCAAGUCGAACGGUGAAGCCGGAGUUUGCUCUGCUGGACCAGUGGCGAACGGGUGAGUAACACGUGAGUAACCUGCCCCUGACUCUGGGAUAAGUGCUGGAAACGGCGUCUAAUACCGGAUAGGAGCUGCGACGGCAUCUUGAGCGGCUGAAAGGGAUUUCGGUCGGGGAUGAGCUCGCGGCCUAUCAGCUUGUUGGUGGGGUAAUGGCUUACCAAGGCGUCGACGGGUAGCCGGCCUGAGAGGGUGACCGGCCAAACGGGGACGGAGACACGGCCCGGACUCCAACGGGGGGCAACGGUGGGGAAUAUUGCACAAGGGGCGAAGGCCUGAUGCAGCAACGCCGGGGGGGGAACGAGGGCCUUCGGGUGGUAAACCUCUUUUAGCGGGAAAGAAGCGAAGGGGACGGAACCGGCAGAAAAAGCGCCGGCAAAUUACUG
rnacentral:rRNA from 1 species